rnacentral:rRNA from 1 species
UACAGAGGGGGCAAGCGUUGUUCGGAAUUACUGGGCGUAAAGGGCGCGUAGGCGGCCCGCUAAGUCGAACGUGAAAUCCCCGAGCUCAACUCGGGAACUGCGUCCGAUACUGGCGGGCUUGAAUCCGGGAGAGGGAUGCGGAAUUCCAGGUGUAGCGGUGAAAUGCGUAGAUAUCGGGAGGAACAUCAGUGGCGAAGGCGGCUUCCUGGCCCAACACUGACACUCAGGUGCGACAGCGUGGGGAGCAAACAGG